AAAGCCAAGCUCUUCAAGGUAGAAGAUCUCGUCCUCAGGAAGGCCGAGGCUUCUCAGCCCAUCGAACAGGAAAAACUAGCUCCAAACUGGGAAGGACCCUACCGAGUCGCGCGAGUCCAGCGGCCCGGAGCUUACAAGUUGGAGACUCUUGAGGGGAUUUCUAUCCCUCGAAGCUGGAACUCCGAGAACCUUCGGAUGUACUACCAAUGAACCCUCUGGGGGUCGUCGACAAACAAGAAUGCAAUUCUCCCUCCAUUUAUGAUGAUUUGUUUACGAUUCUCCAUUAAUUAUUUUAUGCUCCUGAUACUGGGACACUCAAAUCCCAGAAAAUCCCGACCAAGCUCGGAUGCCCGGAUCCCAGACCGAGCUCGGAUGCCCGACAAAGUUCGGAUGCUCGACGAAGCUCGGACACUCAACUGCUCAACAAGCUCAAAUGCUCCAGUCAAACUUGAAGCACCUCGCUACGCUACUAUCGAGCUCGGUCUCGAUCUCCCUCAAAUACCUCGACAAAGCUCGGGAUGCCCCGUGAGUCGAUAGUAAAGUCCCAAACUCCCUCGACCUCGGAAAGCGUCGCAGGUCGACAGUACGUUCCUAAACCCCUAGACCUUGCGCACGAUCCCUCGACAAAGCUCGGGAUGCCCCGUGAGUCGAUAGUAGAGUCUCAAACUUCCUCGACCUCAGAAAGCGUCGCAGGUCGACAGUGCGUUCCCAGACCCCUCGACCUUGCGCACGAUCCCUCGACAAAGUUCGGGAUGCCCCGUGAGUCGAUAGUAGAGUCCCAAACUCCCUCAACCUCGGAAAGCGUCGCAGGUCGACAGUGCGUUCCCAGACCCCUCGACCUUGCGCACGAUCCCUCGACAAAGUUCGGGAUGCCCCGUGAGUCGAUAGUAGAGUUCCA
rnacentral:lncRNA from 1 species